rnacentral:lncRNA from 1 species
CCCCACUGUGGAAGGCCUUGCUCUACAUUGCUGACCUUGGCCAUCUCCUGCAGGUGCCCACUGGAAGAGAUCAGCCCUGGCAGAACCAUUCGAGAGUGAGUGAAUGUAGAUGCCCUCAGUGAGGGGAAGAAUUUGGAGGGUAUCAGCCUUGAUAAAGGGUGCUCAAGCAUGCUGGUGCCUCUGCUCACCAUGAAUGUCAAGCCAUGGUAUUGUCUCCAGCUUCCCUUCUGGUAUAUUUGAAAGCUCAACACAUUGACAGAGCAUUUCAGAUAUGUAUUUCAAUAGAUAGCUCACCCAGUUUGCUGAAGAUAUCUGUGUCAAGAGGAAUUUCAGGGCGAUCCAUGAAGUUCUCUCCCUGGGUCACAAGGGCUUCCUUGAUCAGUGGAAGUCCAUUUACAAUCACAAAUGACUGGCUGCCUGCUUGCAUGCUGAAGAUAUCCCCAAGUUUUUCAGUAAGCUGCACAAGGGGUAAAUAAAUGAAUAAAUAGAUAAAUGGGGGUUGGUUUGCAAUGACGUUUUCUGCAGAAAGAGUGCAUGCCCUGGUAUCGUCCGCCCACAGGGAAGGACAG